rnacentral:rRNA from 1 species
UGUAGUUUUUUUGUCAUAAAUACGACAGCUAUCUCUAGUAAAACUAAUAGUUUUAUGGAUAGUAAUUAAAUUAAAAGACCGGGAUCAGUUAUUAUAUUAUAACUAUCCAAGGGGUUAGUUUAAUUUUUUGAAAGCUUCGGCUAUUAGCGAUUUACUCGCAUAAACUUCCAUACAAAAUACAGAUGAUGACUAUUUUUGUAUGACAGUCUUGGCCAAAACACGUGCCAGCAGCCGCGGCAACACGGGAUUAGACGAGUGUUAUUCAUCUUUAAUAGGUUUAAAGGGUACCUAGACAGCAGAUUUAGCCCCCACUGAGUUGGAAUGGAACUUUUCUGCUAGAGUUUUAUGUGAGAGGGAUUUAGUACUAACAGAGUAGAGAUGAAAUUUUUUGAUACUGUAGGGCACUGAUAACGGCGAAGGCAGACCUUUAUGUAAAAACUGACGUUGAGGGACGAAGG